rnacentral:rRNA from 1 species
GAAAGGAACGAAGGGCAUACGGAGAAUGCCUUGGCACCGACGGCCGAAGAAGGGCGUAGCAAGCUGCGAAAAGCUGCGGAGAGGCGCAAGCGGCCUUUGACCCGCAGAUUCCCGAAUGGGGCAACCCGGCCGGAGCGAUCCGGUCACCCUCUAAGGAGGGGGGCACCCGGCGAAGUGAAACAUCUCAGUAACCGGAGGAAAAGAAAUCGACGAGAUUCCCUGAGUAGUGGUGAGCGAAAGGGGAAGAGCCCAAACCGAAUGCGUGCCAAGACUGCGGUCGUUGCGCAUUGGGUGUAGAGGGGCACGACAGGAGGUCUCCGCAGGGACCUCGGGAAGUCACAAAAGGCAUCCUUAGCCGAACCGUGUUGGGAAAGCGGGCCGCAGAGAGUGAAAGCCUCGUAGGCGAAAAGGAGACCUCUUCCUGUGUUGUGACCCCGAGUAGGCCGGAGCACGUGAAAUUCCGGUUGAAUCAGGGCGGCCCACCGUCCAAGGCUAAAUACCGUCGGUGACCGAUAGUGAAGCAGUACCGAGAGGGAAAGGUGAAAAGCACCCCUGGCGGGGAGUGAAAGAGACCUGAACCCGUAUGCCUACAAGCAGUCGGAGCUCUCUUUACGGAGGGAGUGACGGCGUGCCUAUUGAAAAAUGAGCCGACGAGUUACGUCAGGUGGCGAGGUUAAGGACUGAGAGGUCCGGAGCCGCAGGGAAACCGAGUCUGAACAGGGCGACCAGUCGCAUGGCGUAGACCCGAAGCCGCACGAUCUAUCCAUGGCCAGGUUGAAGGUCGGGUAAAACCGACUGGAGGACCGAACCGUAGACUGUUGAAAAAGUCCCGGAUGAGCUGUGGAUAGGAGUGAAAAGCUAAUCGAGUGCGGUGAUAGCUGGUUCUCCCCGAAAUGCAUUGAGGUGCAGCCUCGCUGAGAGAAAGUUCCGGGGGUAGAGCACUGGAUGGAUGCGGGGGACUGGGGUCCUACCAAAUUCAACCAAACUCCGAAUACCGGAACUGGAUAAGCGGGAGUGAGACUGCGGGCGAGAAGGUUCGUAGUCGAAAGGGAAACAGCCCAGACCGACAGCUAAGGUCCCCAAGCCUGUGCUAAGUGUGUUAAGGAUGUGGAAGUGCCCAGACAGCCAGGAGGUUGGCUUAGAAGCAGCCACCCUUUAAAGAGUGCGUAACAGCUCACUGGUCGAGGACUACCGCGCCGCGAAUGUAGGGGGCUAAGCACAGCGCCGAAGCUUCGGACUCACGGAAUCUAUCCGUGAUUGGUAGGGGAGCGUUCUCUGCGGGGUGAAGUGCGACCGGCGAGGUCGUGUGGACUGCAGGGAAGUGAGAAUGUCGGCAUGAGUAGCGAGAAACGCGUGAGAAUCGCGUUCACCGGAAGCCCAAGGAUUCCUGGGGAAGGUUGAUCCGCCCAGGGUUAGGCGGGACCUAAGGCGAGGCCGCAAGGCGUAGUCGAUGGACAGCAGGUAGACAAUCCUGCCCCGCGCGAGGACGCUAAUACCGAAGGGGUGACGCAGGAGGCUAAAUGCGCCGGGUGCUGGAAUACCCGGUCCAAGGAGGUAGGGGGAGUCGUCAGGCAAAUCCGUCGACUCAUAACCCCGAGAUCUGAUGGGGAGCUUCCACGGAAGCGAAGGCAUCGACGCCCGACUGCCGAGAAAAGCCUCUAGGGAGGAAUCGCGUGCCCGUACUGCAAACCGACACAGGUGGGCUGGCUGAGCAGGCUAAGGUGGACAGGGUAACUCUCGCCAAGGAACUCUGCAAGUUGACCCCGUAACUUCGGGAAAAGGGGUGCCGCGCCGGUGAAAUUAAAGCUAAUGGAGCUGGCAGCGGUCGCAGAACCCAGGCCCAGGCGACUGUUUAAUAAAAACACAGGACUCUGCAGAAGGCGUAAAGCCGACGUAUAGGGUCUGACACCUGCCCGGUGCUGGAAGGUUAAGGGGAGAGGUCAGCCGCAAGGUGAAGCCUUGAACCGAAGCCCCAGUAAACGGCGGCCGUAACUAUAACGGUCCUAAGGUAGCGAAAUUCCUUGUCGGGUAAGUUCCGACCUGCACGAAUGGUGUAACGAUCUGGGCGCUGUCUCGGCGGGAGACCUGGUGAAAUUGUGGUGCUGGUAAAGACGCCAGCUACCCGUGGUGGGACGGAAAGACCCCGUGGAGCUUUACUGUAUCCUGAUAUUGGAUUUCGGCAUAGCAUGUACAGAAUAGGUGGGAGGCGAAGAAGGCAUCACGCCAGUGGUGUCGGAGCCGACGUUGGGAUACCACCCUUGUUGUGCUGGAAUUCUAACCGCGGUCCGCUGAAGCGCGGAGCGGGACACUGUCAGGUGGGCAGUUUGACUGGGGCGGUCGCCUCCCAAAGAGUAACGGAGGCGCGCGAAGGUCACCUCGUGGCGAAUGGAAAUCGCCGUAAGAGCGCAAGGGUAUAAGGUGGCCUGACUGUGAGACAGACAUGUCGAACAGCUGCGAAAGCAGGUCCUAGUGAUCCGGCGGUUCUGAGUGGAAAGGCCGUCGCUCAUCGGAUAAAAGCUACCCCGGGGAUAACAGGCUGAUCUCCCCCGAGAGUUCCCAUCGACGGGGAGGUUUGGCACCUCGAUGUCGGCUCGUCGCAUCCUGGGGCUGAAGCAGGUCCCAAGGGUUGGUCUGUUCGCCCAUUAAAGCGGUACGUGAGCUGGGUUUA